CGAGGGGUAACAGGGAUUAGCUUGCUAAUUUGCUGACGACCGGCGCACGGGUGCGUAACGCGUAUACAAUCUGCCUUAUACUGGGGUAUAGCCUUUAGAAAUGAAGAUUAACCCCCCAUAGUCUCUACUUGUGGCAUCACAUAUAGAGUAAAGGUUACGGUAUAAGAUGAGUAUGCGUUCUAUUAGUUUGUUGGUGAGGUAACGGCUCACCAAGACUACGAUAGAUAGGGGCCCUGAGAGGGGGAUCCCCCACACUGGUACUGAGACACGGACCAGACUCCUACGGGAGGCAGCAGUGAGGAAUAUUGGACAAUGGAGGCAACUCUGAUCCAGCCAUGCCGCGUGCAGGAAGACUGCCCUAUGGGUUGUAAACUGCUUUUAUAUAGGAAGAAACCUACUUACGUGUAAGUAGCUGACGGUACUAUAAGAAUAAGGAUCGGC
rnacentral:rRNA from 1 species